rnacentral:lncRNA from 1 species
GCUUUUCCUAGCCUCUUAAAAAAUAGCCACUUGCCGCAUGUGGGAGCUGUUCAUCAUUAUUGGUGGCUUCUUUCCCAUUUUUGCUUACAGUUUCUCACAGGAUGGGAAAACUGGAUUCAAGAUUUUUUUGGGUUUAUUUUCCUGCCUGAAGCUGGUAGUCCUGACUGUGGAUGUUGUGAGUGUGGAGUUAAGAUCAGAAGGAUCUUUGUGUGAGAUAAAGGCUGUCAGUUCUCACCUGGGGAUUUCUGCAGAGCCAGAACACUGCUGGAUAUCAAGCCCUACUGACCCAGUGCUACUUCUGCAAGCCCUGUGAAAAAGCAACCACAUACCCUGUGAUCACCGUGGCCAAGUGAAAACCAGACUGAUGCUGCUCUAUUUUUUCUGGCCUGAAGAGACCAGCUGUCUGCCCCUGCAGAGCUUACCCUUGUGGGUACCAGCUGCCUGUGCCUUCACUGGGAUGGAAACUGCUCCAGCCUGCUGGGUGAGCCAUGCAACAUCCCUGGAUUCCAUGAGAGCAAAAUAAUUCAAAGCCACCCCAAGGAGCAGAAGUCAGACACUGAAGAACAGCCCAGGCUGGGUAAUCCAGUGAGUGCAGGAUCUGGGAAUUGUCCUGGCUGUGUGUGACAGCCUGUACAGAAAGGAACAAGAAUGAGACAAAAAAAUAUGUCAAAGAAAGAGUUCUUGUGCUCUAAACUCCCAGGGUUGUUUUGUGGAAGGCCCUUAAAAUCCCGACCCAGGAAGAUGGAGAUAACACCAGCAGAGCACAUCCAAAGCUAAUCUGUGGGAGUGUUGUCAGGAGGCACUGUGGGAGAGAAGAUGAUGACUUUAUGCCAGCACAGGGUAUCUUGAGCACAAGCUGAGUGUUUCAGUUGUGAGUUUAGCUUAGUUUUGAACAGUCUGAAGCUCUGUAAUGCCAUUUUUAAGUGGUUUUGAGUAUGUUAGUCUGAAAAAGAAGAUACAGAGAACUCUUUCAGCACAAAACUCUGUAAUUUACUGGACACUGUUUUCAGGAGGAUUUUGGUGCUGUACAUGAAGUGCUCAAUUUGCUUCUCAGACAUUUUGCCAGGCAAGAUGCCCAGUAAUUAUGUACUGAAAGAUCAAGAGACACUGGUGCUCCUAACCAAACAAUUUCACUUUCAGAGCAUAAGGAACUCAUGUAAGUGACAGGUCAGACAGCAGAUUAAUUUGAACACAGCAUGCUUCUCUCGAGAAGCCCUGCUUGGAGGGGAAGUGUUUCUUCUCAAAAAAUAAUAAUUAAAGGAGAGUGAGUUAGAUUAUGUACCUCUGGAUAUGCUUUGCACUGCCCUGUCUCU